GGAGAGGUGGCAGAGUGGUCGAAUGCACCGCACUCGAAAUGCGGCAUACGGGCAACCGUAUCGAGGGUUCGAAUCCCUCCCUCUCCGCCA
rnacentral:tRNA from 7 species